UACCCAACCCGACGAAGGGGGAAACGUCCGACCGAAAGUUGUGUUGGUGAUUGGGGUG
rnacentral:rRNA from 1 species